UGCAUAUGAUGUUACUUCUUAAUAUUUGCUACUUCAGAGGUCCUUGCGGCCGAUGAGACAACUCUUUUAUCACCAAGAUCUCUGAUGCC
rnacentral:snoRNA from 1 species